rnacentral:tRNA from 1 species
CGGAGUGUAGCCAGUUUUGUUUAGCUACUACCUUGGAGUGGUGGGGGUUGCCAGUUCAAAUCUGGCCAUCCCGA